UGUGGCUUGGACCUGUCACCUCCAUGUUCUCCACAUGCUGAACCCUGUGGCUUGGACCUGUCACCUCCAUGUUCUCCACAUGCUGAACCCUGUGGCUUGGACCUGUCACCUCCAUGUUCUCCACAUGCUGAACCCUGUGGCUUGUAGUGGAUGAAAACACUCUUGGCCAAAUGUUUUUUCAAUGACUUCCAAUCUUUUGUAAACAUGUUAAUCUGUUUGUUGUGGCUGAGGGAUAUUGAGCUGAGAGAUUGACAUGACAACCACAGUGUUAUUCUGUCCCACAGCCAUACUGCUGUGAUUGCAGAGCUGGAUCAUGCCAAUCUGAAUCAGUAUUUUUCUAAUAGAUCAUUGAUUUGUAUUCGUAGAUAACCUGACUGCUAUAGCCCUCUCAAAGUAUAGGUAGGUGUGUUUCUUGUUUCCAGAUUGGUUUUGUAGGAGACUAUGCUGCUGCAGUAUACUAUACAGUAACCAGCAGGCCUUGUUGGUAGCCCCUGUCUGUCUACGAAGCACUUGAACCACUUUUACCAAAACGUCUAUUGAUUGGCGCUUUACAUAGAAACCUUGGACCAAUAAUAGUCCAUCAUUCCAGACUCCAGUACAUUUCCAGAAAUGCUGUCCCUCCCCUUCCCGUUGAACGAAGGAUGAGGAACAGAGGCAGAACCCGGAUUCACCUCAACCCUGUCACAGGGCAAGAGUUAUUGUACUCUGCACAGCUUCAAGUUCCUCUGCGGUAACAUACUGUCAUCACCAUCACGUGGUGUUAAUAAGGGGACAUUUUAUGAGGGAAUCUACUAGUCUGAGUAUCACCUGUCUUUCUCUUCCUGUUUACAUUUUCCCUUGACUUUUUCUUCACUUAUUUUUGUGCUUUCCAGACCCAUCAAAUGUUGUUUCUUUGAUAUUUGUUCUGAAAUGUUUCGGCACAUCUACACUGACUAGACCGAACAUUAGGAACCAGUUUCUAAUAUUGAGUUGCACCCCCACCCCCCUCUUUGCCCUCAGAACAGCCUCACGAGGUUGGGGCAUGGACUCUACAAGGUGCCGAAAGCCUUCCACAGGGAUGCUGGUCCAUGUUGACUCCAAUGCUUCCCACAGUUGUGUCAAGUUGGCUGGAUGUCCUUUGGGUGGUGGACAAGAAACUGUUGAGCGUGAAAAACCCAGCAGUGUUGCAGUUCUUGAAACAAACCGGUGCGCUUGGCACCUACUACCAUACCCCGUUCAAAGGCACUUAAAUAUUUUGUCUUCCCUAUUGACCCUCUGAAUGGCACACAGACACAAUCCAUGUCUCAAUUGUCUCAAUGCUUAAAAAUCCUUCUUUAACCUGUCUCCUCCCCUUCAUCUACACUGAUUGAAGUGGAUUUAACAGGUGACAUCAAUUAGUGAUCAUAGCUUUCACCUGGAUUGUCUGUCAUGGAAAGAUCAGGUGUUCUUAAUGUUUUGUCCACUCAGUGAAUGUUUCCACUUAAUUUAGUAUUAGAUUAUUGAGUGGCCAACUAUAUCAAAUGUGACUUUUUUUUUUAUACAAAUGGAGAAUUGUGGUGUCGCACAAUGCCAUAUAAACAAUGAAAUGUUGUCUUAUAGUUGUACUGUGAGAGGUGUGUUUUCUCUGAGAGCUGGUCUCUCUAGGAACCUUCUGAUGUCGACUUGAGUGCUGUACCCAUCCAUCAUGUUACCAUGGUUUCACUUACCUAUAUAGGUUUAUUGUUUGACAGGAUUGCACCCAGCAUUAAAAACACAAGUUAUACUCACUUUAACUUCACACACUUCCUGUUGACCAAUCACUUUACCUUCACACCAUACCCUUCCUGUUGACCAAUCACUUUACCUUCACACCAUACCCUUCCUGUUGACCAAUCACUUUUUGUAUUUGUUCCAAUGUUAAUUUCUUUGAUCAAGUAUUGUAUCACCUUGUAUCUCAGCUGGUUUCUUUCUGUAUUCCAUAAGCUAUCCCACUCCUUGUUAUUGCUGUUGUAAGGAUGGAGGUGUGUCUGACCCUGUGCAUGACCACUCCUCAAUCCUAACACUCUUUUUAAAGCAACACCUUUACACAAUCAUCUAGUGCCAUUUGCAACCUUCCACAAAACCGUCAGGACACUUUCUCUUGUAUCUAUGAAUAUUGAACAUCAUUUCCACAGAAUUCUUAUUCAACUGAUCGUGACCGAAAUGGCCCACUAUCAACACAAAUAAAUAUUUUAUAUGAGUUGUAUGAUCAUCAUCACCUAAUAAACAUUGUUAUAGCUUACUGUGCACAUUUGUGUUAAUGCUGUUAUGUACUUUCUACAGAGAAAGGAUCCUUGACUUUAGCACAUUUUGUCUCUGGC
ensembl:lncRNA